UCUUGUUUUCUGAGAAACCAGUUAUGUCAACAUUACAGCAUGCCACAGCCAGCAUGCCAAAAAUAACACGAAAAGGAACGGCUGCAAAUCUAUUUAGGAUUAAGCCAGUAAUUAUUGCGUUUGUGAUCAUUUCCAAGAAUUGUUCCUACCCAAAUAUUAAAUGGAAAAUAAGAGCUCAUUCCAGCCCUGAAAGUUUUCCAUCUCAUUUUUUUCUUCACUCACUAAAGAUUUAUGUUAAUAAACUAUUAAUAGUUUUAAACAGAGAACUUCUAUGUUGAAAUUAAAAGCAAAGUCAUUUUAAUAAUAUGUUGGAGGCUUUAUAUUUUUCUUUAUUAAAAGAGAAAAACAUUUCUCUUUUUUCUUUUUAUUUCUGUGUCUGAAGUUACUUAUAACAAUAAAACUUCUUAAAACCCAGACUGAAGGCAUGUGUUCAUUUAAAGUCUUGAGACACCACCUAUUUCCUGAUCUCCUCUACAUUAUUAAAUAAGCAAAUCUUAAUUCAUCCAAAAUUCUAGUUGGCAAACUCUGGGUGACCAUGGAGAUUAGAGUGGUGAUAAGGGAACCGGUGUAGUGAUGGAGCUAACCUCUCUUUAAUUUGGCUAUUAAAUGGCUUCUCCGAAAAGAGACGGAAUCCCUUAUUUCAGGAAAAUGGAUUUAAAAAAAAAUGAUUACAGCAUAAUUAUUUUAAAAAUACGCUUUAAUAUUUAUCUGGCUGCUUCUUCCCCUGUUCCCAUAUUCCCCCUACAAGUUAGGUAUAUCAGCAGAUCAUGUAAAUAUUUAUAGUACUUGUUAAUCUAUUAGGAAAUGUAUAUUCUGACAUUUUAGCGCCAUGGGGGAUUCUUUUUUUUUCUCUAAUUUUUGUCUGAGAUUUAUGCAUAGCUUUUAUCCAGUAGGAAGAAGGACACAUUCUUCCCCUACCCUUUCUCGCCCAGGUGAGCUUCCUAAGGCCAAAUCACGCAAAGUUUGACCACAAAAGGUGACUUACUGACUAGCUGUCAGAAAGAUGAAUGCUUCCUUUAAAAAUAGCAGCAUGGUGUUCCUUGUCAACAAAACUGUGGCUCUUAGAAAGGAUGCCAUAGGCCUUAUGGUUAGGACCGUCUGGGUAGGUUCAGUUCAUUUGUAGAACAAAGAUUUCUGUUGCAAUGCUCUUUUAGCCAUCCAGCUUCAUUCGUUUUAAGGGCUAGACCUUGUUCUUCAGCCAUUUGGCAAUCUGUGUAUGGAGUACUGGAUACAGUGUGGUUUAGUGCAGUGGUUCCCAGCUUUUCACAUCUUAAAUUCUACAAAUCUUUUUUCGGGGAAUGGGGAGGACGAGGUGGAGAGGCACCUGUUAUUGCUGUCUAAGCAGAAAGUGAGAUGGCGUGAGGGUGCGGGGAGGGACGGUAUUGCAGAUUGGAGCACUACCAUGUACCUUUAGGAUGCCCUCCUCCUCAUCUUCCUAGAUGAGCUCUGUGUCCCUAGACUUAGUUUACACAAACACACAAAAAAUAGUAAGUGUCCAUGAUUUUGAUUAUCAAAAUAAUCCUUGGCUGGAUAAUCAUUCUUGGGCGAUAUUGUUGGGGCGAAUGAGGGGACUGAGGGAGCACAAAAUCUCAAUAACUGAUGCUAAAACCCUGUGUCCCCCAUUUGGUCAUGGAGCAACAAGUCAAUACCAGGUCAACAGAAUCUUCUAUACUUAAAAUCCAUUUUCGUGGCUCUUAUACAAGCCACUGGGAAGCCCACACAUUCAACAUUUGUUCCAUUUUUCCUUCCAGAUUAACUUUAUUUUUCCACAUCCCCGAUAGUGAUUUUUCCAUUAACAUUUGAUGCUCAAUUUUCAUUUUCCCUAACAUUGGUCCCUGGAAGUCUUCCAAAAUCUUAGGAAGCAUAAUAGAUUUGAUUUCAUCUUGUUCCUUUCUCACCUGUUUUUUUUUUUUUUUAAUAAAGCUGGUUUCUUUCUUUAUUUGAGCAAUCUUCUGCUCUCCAAAGGAAGACUCUUUAAAGCUUAGUCCAAAGGAAAAGACUCCUAUUCCAAGGCCAGCAAAUUUCUUCCUCCACGUGGCCUCUAGCAGCCAGCCAGCCACCAACUGGCCUCUUGUUACAGCCUUUUGUUGACUCUCUUAUGGAUGCUGCUAACAGUCUCUAGCUUUCCAGCCACUUUCAGCUCUUCUGACAGUAGCCCCUUUUUGGGAAGGACCUGGAGAUGAGGCUAAGGCUGCGUUGUUCCCUAUCUUUGUUGGAUGUGUUGCAAUAAAACAACACAGGUAAUUCACAUUUGAGCUGGAGAUUAAACUCAGGUUGGGCUUCCAAGCUGUCACCUGGGACAGUCAUUGAGGUUGUGCUUCUUUAUCCUGGUUUGUGGCUUGGACGUUUGUUUAGCCUUAAAACAGGAUUUCAAAUGACCAAAGGAGAUUCUGUUGGACUUUUCCUUGGC
rnacentral:lncRNA from 1 species